rnacentral:sRNA from 18 species
AUUUCUUAAACUAUACGUCACACAUAUAUCGGCACACUUGUCUGGGUGCCCUAGCUGUUAAAGCGGGGUUGGCUUGUGGGAUAUAUGGAGGCCUAAC